UUCGGCCAUAUCACGUUGAAAGACCAGUUCUCAUAUGAUCGUCGAAGUUAAGCAAAGUCGAGACUGGUCAGUACCUAGAUGGGUGACUGCUUUGGAAUACCAGAUGAUGUAU